GGCACUAUGGCCGAGUGGUUAAGGCGAAAGAUUAGAAAUCUUUUGGGCUCCGCCCGCGCAGGUUCGAGUCCUGCUGGUGUCG
rnacentral:tRNA from 1 species